GAUGAACGCUGGCGGCGUGCCUAACACAUGCAAGUCGAGCGAAGCGAUCGAGAUGAAGUUUUCGGAUGGAUUCCUGAUUGACUGAGCGGCGGACGGGUGAGUAACGCGUGGGUAACCUGCCUCAUACAGGGGGAUAACAGUUAGAAAUGACUGCUAAUACCGCAUAAGCGCACAGUACCACAUGGUACAGUGUGAAAAACUCCGGUGGUAUGAGAUGGACCCGCGUCUGAUUAGCUGGUUGGUGGGGUAACGGCCCACCAAGGCGACGAUCAGUAGCCGACCUGAGAGGGUGAUCGGCCACAUUGGGACUGAGACACGGCCCAAACUCCUACGGGAGGCAGCAGUGGGGAAUAUUGCACAAUGGGGGAAACCCUGAUGCAGCAACGCCGCGUGAGUGAAGAAGUAUUUCGGUAUGUAAAGCUCUAUCAGCAGGGAAGAAAAUGACGGUACCUGACUAAGAAGCCCCGGCUAACUACGUGCCAGCCGCCGCCGUAA
rnacentral:rRNA from 1 species